rnacentral:snRNA from 1 species
GGAUGUGAGAGUGAUCUGGCUAUUACCCCUUUGAUUACCAGGCUGAUUCUAUUGAUCUGGGUGGAUAAGCAGGUAUCUGCUUCCUCCCUCACUGCUCCACAUGAGUCCCUCCUGAAGCUGUGUGCUUAAGUAAAGAGGAUGACCUUCUCUGAUAGAGGAGGGCCAGUCUUUGCUCAAGUAUAUGAGUAGCCUGCACUUUCCUACUGCAACCUCUAAGAUUUUAAGAGCAAGCUUGGGGAUAGAGACCAUCUGUUUGAACUCUUCUAAGAAGAGAGGGCUAUGUCUU